GGUCCCAUAGCUCAGUUGGUUAGAGCGUCGUACUAAUAUUAUAACCUCAUUAUAACAUUGGUGAUGCGAAGGCCGUGAGUUCAAGCCUCACUGGGACCA